GACGAACGCUGGCGGUGUGCUUAACACAUGCAAGUCGAACGGAAAGGCCCUGCUUUUGUGGGGUGCUCGAGUGGCGAACGGGUGAGUAACACGUGAGUAACCUGCCCUUGACUUUGGGAUAACUUCAGGAAACUGGGGCUAAUACCGGAUAGGAGCUCCUGCUGCAUGGUGGGGGUUGGAAAGUUUCGGCGGUUGGGGAUGGACUCGCGGCUUAUCAGCUUGUUGGUGGGGUAGUGGCUUACCAAGGCUUUGACGGGUAGCCGGCCUGAGAGGGUGACCGGCCACAUUGGGACUGAGAUACGGCCCAGACUCCUACGGGAGGCAGCAGUGGGGAAUAUUGCACAAUGGGCGGAAGCCUGAUGCAGCAACGCCGCGUGCGGGAUGACGGCCUUCGGGUUGUAAACCGCUUUCGCCUGUGACGAAGCGCGAGUGACGGUAAUGGGUAAAGAAGCACCGGCUAACUACGUG
rnacentral:rRNA from 1 species